UGCGUCGCUAGUACUUUCUCUGUUUUAUUCUUGACUGGUUGUUUUCUUUGGACUGCUCCACUUCGGGUGGAGUUAUAUAUUGGACAUUGAAUAGGAGGACAGAAAACAUGACGAUUUCUUGAGGCUGGAACACAUUAAGGGUUUGUCUUGAACCAGCGACAUGCUUACUGAUACCCAGCAAAAAGGUCCAAAGACACUGACAUCUGCUCCAGAUGCUCUACUGUUUGCUGGAAUUUCGACAAACAUCUGCCCUGUGGAUGAUGUUGAUGCUCGGACAAUCUUUGUAAGUAAUGUAAUAAAUUGUACGUAUCGUAUUCGUGGCUGAGAUAAAUCUUGUGUGUCUUUGCCUUGUUUCCUGUUCUUGUUCUUUCUGUGCUAGUUUAGUACUGUAGGUAGUUUUCACUUCCAUUCUUCUUUUUUCUGUACAAAGGUUCUUAUUCCGUAUGACUGGUUUUUAUACAUUCCUUGAGGUAGGUGGUUUAAAUCACUCUCUUGUGCGUUGCAAUAUGCAUUUUUGUAUGAAAAAUCUGUCUUUUUACGGGAUGCUAUCCCGUGAUUCUUGGAGAUUGACUUCUGAUUUCACCGUAGGUUGUAGAUUUCUAUGAAUAUUAUUGUAAAGUUAUGGUUAUUCUGCUGGAACAUCAAU